AGUAAGUGUACAUAUAUGCAAAUACUAUACCAUUUUAUAUCAGGGACUUGAGCAUCUGUGGAUUUUGGUAUCUAAAGGCGAUCCUGCAGCCAAUACCCCAUAGACACCAAGAUUCAACUGUAUAGACGAAGGACAUAGUAUAUAGUAUAUAGAAUGAGUGGUUAAUAAAUUGUACAUAGCAUUUACCAGACUUUGUGGCAAGCUCUUUCUUGACCUCACCUCCAGGGCAGAGCAGUUGGAAGACGUGAGCCAACAGAAUUUCUCUGAGAGCAGAGGUCCCAAGAGAGGUAGAGCUGGAAGGGCUGUUAUCCGGAAGGUUGUUCAAGAACUCAUGGAAUUAAGGAAGAGAGAUAAAAAAGCACAUUGGAAGUUGGAUCUGGUAUCAUGCUGACUAGGGAAGAGACGUCUUUAACACACAUCAGAUGCAAACCCGGUGGCUAAGUAAAAAGAAUCUAGGAGGAAAUUGCUGAGUAGGUGGAGUCAACGGAUGAUGAUCUAAAUUUGCAUGUGGUCCAUAUAUAUAUAUAUUUUUUUUGCAGUUUCAACAGCUUGGAAAGUCAAGGCUGGACCCUUAAAGGAGCUGCACUGGGAAGGGAAGAUCUGGGGGAAAACACAUGCAAGAUUCAGUCUUUGCAGGCAAGGAGCUAAUUCUGAUAUGACAGGUAAACAGGAAAACAGUCAAAACUUCAGGAAACACCCAGUUACUUACUUUCCCCCAACUCACCCUACACUCUCUAUGGAGCCUUUUAAUGCUGAAACCUCUAUCAGAAUGGCUUUCCCUACUUCAUGGAAAAGGCUUUUCAAUGUUCCCUGCUCCUUUCCUGACUGGGAAAGUAAUGAACUCUCUCUCUUUUGGAUUUCUGUAGCGGAAGUUUAUAUAAACACUAGUGGCGGAAGAUGUCUCACCUACCAAGUAUAUGUCUUUGAGGCAUGUGCAAGGUCAAGAAUUUAAAGUGUUCGGUUGUAUUUUUGUCUCUACUGCUCACUUGCUGCAUAUUUUGGGCAAAUAAACCUUGGAGCUUGUCAGUGCUGUUAUGGGGA
rnacentral:lncRNA from 13 species